CACAGUGCUUGGCACACAGUAAGUGCUUAACAAAUUGCCUAAUAAUAAUAAUAAUGAUGGCAGCUUUACUUUUUUCAGACUGAUGCUACAGCGCCUAUCUCCCAGGGACCACCAAAGUCAUCGAGAGAUACAAGUUAAUCAGGUUACGGCUCUAUCGGGCCGAAACCAAAGGAGUCAAGAAAGCAAGGAGCAAACCCAGGACUCUACCCUUCCAGAGGAGGGGAACUACGAUGUCUCUCGAGAGCAGAGUCUAGUCCAAGGCCAAGACUUCGGAUUGGAAAAGACACGAGGGGUGAGACCAGCCAACCAAUUCUAGACCGGAAGCUCUUCGGGGGCAGGGAAUGUGUCGGCCAACUCUGUUAUAUCGGACUCUCCCAAGCGCUUAGUACAGUGUUCUGCGCACAGGAAGCGCUCAAUAUAUAUGAUUGAAUGAAUUCACUGACCAGGGACUCCCAAGCGAGCACCACCAGCCGAGGUCCAGAGAGAGCCGGGAUGGAGGAACCGAUACAAGGGAAGUGAAACGGGUUGAUUCCUUCCACCUCAUUUGGAAUUCGACACGAAUUCCUGACCGAGCUGUAAUAUUUUUAGAACCGCUGCAUCGGGUUUCAAAAUAAAUAAGAAAGUGUUUUCCAUU